UACGUAGGUGGCAAGCGUUAUCCGGAAUUAUUGGGCGUAAAGCGCGCGCAGGCGGUUUUUUAAGUCUGAUGUGAAAGCCCCCGGCUCAACCGGGGAGGGUCAUUGGAAACUGGGAAACUUGAGUGCAGAAGAGAAGAGUGGAAUUCCACGUGUAGCGGUGAAAUGCGUAGAGAUGUGGAGGAACACCAGUGGCGAAGGCGGUGGUCUGGGCCGGCACUGACGCUGAGGAGCGAAAGCGUGGGGAGCAAACAGG
rnacentral:rRNA from 1 species